GGCUCAUGCCUGUAAUCCCAGCUACUCGGGAGGCUGAGGCACCAGAAUCCUUUGAACCUGGGAGACAGAGGUUGCAGUGAGCCAAGAUCGUACCACUGUACUCCAGCUUGGGCAAAAGGGUGAGACCCGUCUCAAAUAAAAAUGGUAAUAAAAUAAUUAAAGAAAUACUAAAGGAGGCUCUUCAACAGAAGGGAAAUUAUUGAACACAAAGGUACAAGAAUGCAAGAAAGAAUGACAAACAGCAGAAAGAUCCACGGUAGCCUUGAAAACUAGAAGCCUCUCAGA
rnacentral:lncRNA from 1 species